rnacentral:rRNA from 1 species
UUACCUACGGGAGGCAGCAGUGGGGAAUAUCGCACAAUGGGGGAAACCCUGAUGCAGCAACGCCGCGUGAGUGAUGACGGCCUUCGGGUUGUAAAGCUCUGUCUUCAGGGACGAUAACGACGGUACCUGGGGAGGAAGCUCCGGCUAACUACGUGCCAGCAGCCGCGGUAAUACGUAGGGAGCAAGCGUUGUCCGGAAUUACUGGGUGUAAAGGGAGCGUAGGCGGGGAUGCAAGCUGGGUGUCAAAACUACCGGCUCAACCGAUAGUGGGA